rnacentral:rRNA from 1 species
GCAAUGCAGUUAACACAUUAGGUGUACCGCCUGGGGAGUACGGUCGCAAGAUUAAAACUCAAAGGAAUAGACGGGGACCCGCACAAGCGGUGGAGCAUGUGGUUUAAUUCGACGAUACACGAAGAACCUUACCUGGACUUGACAUAGUAAGAACUUUCUAGAGAUAGAUUGGUGUCUGCUUGCAGAAACUUAUAUACAGGUGCUGCACGGCUGUCGUCAGCUCGUGUCGUGAGAUGUUGGGUUAAGUCCCGCAACGAGCGCAACCCUCGUCAUUAGUUGCUAACAGUUCGGCUGAGAACUCUAAUGAGACUGCCUACGCAAGUAGGAGGAAGGUGAGGACGACGUCAAGUCAUCAUGGCCCUUACGUCCAGGGCUACACACGUGCUACAAUGGGGUAUACAAAGAGCAGCAAUACAGUGAUGUGGAGCAAAUCUCAAAAAUAUCUCCCAGUUCGGAUUGUAGUCUGCAACUCGACUACAUGAAGUUGGAAUCGCUAGUAAUCGUAGAUCAGCUAUGCUACGGUGAAUACGUUCCCGGGUCUUGUACUCACCGCCCGUCACACCAUGGGAGUUGAACUCAUUCGAAGCGGGGAUGCUAAAGUAGCUACCUUCCACAGUGGAUUCAGCGACUGGGGUGAAGUCGUAACAAGGUAACCA